rnacentral:misc_RNA from 1 species
UUCAAUCGGAACCCCUUCAAGGGCAAGGUUGUUAGUGGUGAUAUCAACCCUCGGUGGUCAUAUGGUUCCCCAUCAACAUAAGGUCCUAUCAGCUAUCAAACAAGCUGGCAAUGUGAAGAGAUUCUUUCCUUCUGAGUUCGGCAACGAUGCAGAUCAUAUCGAUGCAGUGGAGCCAGCGAAAUCAAUGUAUGCUGCAAAGGCUGAAUUUCGUAGAGCUGUUGAGGCUGAGGGAAUCCCACAUACAUUUGUCGUAUGCAAUUUCUUCGACGGUUACUUUCUAAGCAACUUGUCUCAACCAGAUGCAAGCGUCCCACCUAGAGACAAAGUCAUAAUCUUAGGGGAUGGAACUCCCAAAGUGAUUUACAACAAGGAAGAAGACGUUGGGACGUACACAAUCCGAGCUAUCGACGAUCCAAGGACCCUCGACAAGAUCAUGUACCUUAGACCCCCAG